UACAGAGGGGGCUAGCGUUAUUCGGAAUUAUUGGGCGUAAAGGGCGCGUAGGCGGCCACGCGUGUCUUUCGUGAAAUCCCUCGGCUUAACUGAGGACGUGCGGAAGAAACUGCGAGGCUCGAGUCCGGGAGAGGGGGGCGGAAUUCCCAGUGUAGCGGUGAAAUGCGUAGAUAUUGGGAGGAACACCGGUGGCGAAGGCGGCCCCCUGGACCGGUACUGACGCUGAGGCGCGAAAGCGUGGGGAGCAAACGGG
rnacentral:rRNA from 1 species